GAGAAUGCUGGAGCAGUUAUAUUCUGGAAAUGAUAUACAUCACUUCUGCUUACAGCACAUUGGCCAAAACUUGUCACAUGGUCCUGCCUAAUGGCACACUGGCGAGCUGGUACUCCUCCCUACACCUUGACGAAGAGGUGAACCAAAAUGGCUGACUAAUCAAAGUUACUAUGUCAGAGGCAGACUUUGAGCUCUUCACCACCAUCUGAUACUAUUGCCCUUGAGAAGAAUGAUCUCCUGCUGGAUGAGAGGAUCACAGUGGCUGUGUGGAGCUUCAUUAUUCAUUCUCCUCCAUCCAUCUUAAUCCUACCAUGCCUGUCACUGGAUCCCAAAGAGGCACAAUUAGGACCUCCCCUCAGGAGUCCUUCUGGCCUCUGCCCAGCUCCUAUGCUGUUCAAGACCAAUACUUGAUGCCCAGUGGCCCACGUUUUUUAACCUUUGGGAUUCAUGUGAUCAGCACCCACACAGCUGGGAAUCACUGAGUCACAGGCUGAGCAGCUGCUUGCAUCUUUUCUGCCUGGAAACAAGAUUUGUAGGGCAGAGUGGAUCUGCCUCCCACCCUUCUGGCAGGCUCCUGUGGCUCUCGGCAUUCCUGCUGCAAAGCCUUGUGAAGCACGUCUUUAACUUCUCAGAGAAGUGUUUAACAAAUGUCACCAUCCAGAGCUGACAGGCACAGUGGUCUUAGACCUGGAAGCCUCAGAUAUGAACAUCUUGGCAGGAAUCUCCAUCACGUUUCUGGAUAUGGGUUUGGAAUGUGUUCACCGACCUGCCCUUUACAAUUCAUUGAUUUUUGGGUUUGUUUACUUUUUCAACUCAUUCUCCAGGCAAGACGCAGUUUCUUCCUCCAGGUAAGAUGCAGUCAACAGCGAGAGAGGCUAAGAAGAGUCCAAGGGAAAGAUGUGUUUGCAAACAUUGCUUUUGGAUAGAACACUCUUUUUCUAGAACAAGUAGAGAAAGAGGGAGUUUAAAAAGUCAACAUAAUACCGAUAGGAGACAAAUAAUUGAACACAAAGAAAACAGAAUUUAUCCUUGAAACUGAAAGAACAGCAUACCUCUGGAAGUUACCUUCUAUAGGAAGCAGCAGGAUUAAAACAAACACAACUCUUUGUUCCUCAAUCUUCUCCUUUUAACCUAGUCUUUCCUCCUGGUUUUUUCAUUUCGUUUCAUAGAGUCCAAGUUGUUUUUAUAUCCUUUGUGUAGAGCAAAGUCAAUGAACAGAGAACAUAAAGGAUAUUAAAGAAAUAACUGCAAAGAAACAGAACUUGGAGUGCUAGAAAUGUCUUUCUUGGAGAUGGUAAAGAAUGGAAUGGACACUGUAGAAAUGGAAUCAGUAAUGUCGAACAACCUGAAGAAACUCCCAGAAUGGAGAGAGAAAGCUUAAAGAGAAUGAGAAAAGAGAAAAAGGAAAAUGACUGAUAUGGAGGAAAGAGAACAAAGACCCAAUAAAAGAAUUAUGGACAUGUUUUUAUAGCAGAAAACAAAAAGUCCACUCAUUAAUGAUUAUUGGUGUAAAAAUCAUCCAUGAAAAUGGUAGUAAAUUGCGCUCCUGGAACAUCAAUCCCUGGUUAAUAAAUUUCAAAAUUCUCAAUUCAAAUAAGAAAUUAAGAAUUUUUUGAGCCCGAUUAUGAUAAAUACUAAAAAAUUUUCCUAAAAAGAUACAAAGUAAGAUUUGGAUAGAUACUCCUGGCCAGAAGAUCAGAUGGUGUAAAGAUAUACAUUCUUCCUAUGUUAUAUCAUGAUUUAAAUAGUUUUAAUAAAAAUCCUAACAGUAUGGGCUAAAGCAAAUCUAACAUUUGAAAAAGUGAAUCUAACAUUUAUCUGGAAGCAAAAAUGGUGCAAGUAGCCAGGACAUUUUUUUUAAGAGCUAUUAUAAUAGAUUGUAAUCAAAACAGCAUGGCGGUGGUAGAACUUGAUAGGCAGAGAAUGCACCGAGAAGAUGUCCCAGCAUUAUUUAAUGAUUCUUUCUCCUCUAAUUUCGAAUGCCAAAUUUAAUCAUAAACUCACUCUUCUAUAUAUAUACUAAAGUCUAUUUUUGGGAUAAGUGGUUAACAAUAUGAAAGAAAGUUGGCAUCCUUUCUCAAAGCAUACACCACAAUACAAAGACCAAAAGGACUAAAUAGUCAAAUGCACAAAAGGAAGCCAAAAUAAAAUAUGGAUGGCUGUAUCUCUGAUCUUGAGCUUGGUUUAGUUUGUCUAUGUAUAAUGAGAUGGGGAAAAUUUUAUUCACCACAAUUCCACUUAUGAAUGGAACUCAUUUGUGGGAGAAAGUUCAUGAAGUAGAAAGGGAGACAGUAGAGGGUCUGAGUAAUAAACAUUGCUCUGUGGGAGACAAGAAGAAUUUCCCUGAUACUCUAACAAAGAAAGGAGAAGGGAGACAAAGGGAAGCAAAAGGAAGUAAAACAAAGGAAGCCAUCAUGAUGUGUGUGGAGGGGAAGAGGAAGUAGUGUCUAGAAGCAACAAGACGUUGAACUGUUACCAACUGCCAAAUUGGAGUCUGGGCGGGUUUUCAGCAGUCUCUAUAGGGCAGGAGGUGCCCGUCAAGGAUCUGGGUUAAAUGAGUGUAAAAGCAGUGGAGGAAAUCUCGAAGAGGAGCAAUUGGCAGAUUUUCUAACGUCAGAUUAGAAAUUUUUGUACAUCAGGGUUUAUAAACUACAAGGGAUCAAAUCUGGCCAUUCCCUUGAGUUUUUGUAUUAUCUGUCUCUGUUUUCCAGCUACCAUGGCAGCAUUGAGAAGUCGUGAUGGAGAACAUAUGGCCCACAAAGGCUAAAAUAUUUACUAUCUGGCCCUUUAAAGAAAAACUUUGCUAAUCCAAGCUCUACAUAAAAAAUAUCACAAUUAAAAGGCAAACUCAGAGAGGCUGGCCUGAUGGCAUAGCGGUUAAGUGCACGUGCUCUGCUUCAGCGGCCUGGGGUUGGCAGGUUCAGAGCCUGAGUGUGGACCAAGCACCGCUCGGUCAAGUCACACUGUGGCGGCAUCCCACAUAAAAUAGAGGAAGACUGGCACAGAUGUUAGCUCAGUGACAACCUUCCUCACCAAAAUUAAAAAAAAAAAGGCAAACUCAGAAACAAAAUGAAAUACUUGACACAAAUAGACUAAAGCAAACAAUAAUACCCUAAGUCUGCAAAGGGCUCUUUUAAAUUUAUUGAAAAACAGUCAGUUGGCAAUAGGCAGAGGACAUGAAUAGACAGUUCGUUGAAGAAAAAUACAAAGGUAUCAACACAUGAACCAAUGGAAGUCUGGCCUCACUAGGGAGCAAUCAAGGGACAGUGGAAUCAACCACAAUCAUGCCACAGUGUUUGGAGUAAGGAUGUUGUGAUGUGGACAGCUUCCCAUACUGUCGGUUGGAACACAUUAGAACCCUAAAAUAACGACACAAAGGUUACACCCUUUGAUCCAGAAAUUCCACUUCUGAGAAGCUAUCUUGAGAAACUAUUUGCAGAUACAAAUAUGUAAAGGCCAGUCUCCUAUGUGUAAGAUUUGCAUGAAGAGUGGAAAAGAUGCAAGGACACUUCCUUGGAUUCAGCCUUCCCAGGCCAACUUGCCAAAUUAAUGAGGAAUAAAGCUUCCGUCUACUCAACAGCUACCACCCUCUUCCCAUGGAUCGCGACUGAAAUGUGGUUAUAAAUGAUUUUCCUUUACCUACGCUUAGGAUUGCAUGGACUCUCCUGGAUUGUAAUUAGCCAGUUCACAUCCCUGAAGUCUGAUCAUAAAAUCCUUCAAAUUAAAAUUAUUCCCCUAACCUUGCCCUACAAAGUCUUACUGAUCUGGUCCUUCCUAAUCCUCUAGACUCCUUCUGGCCUGUCAAACACACCAAGCCUGUGCACUAUUGUUUCUUCUACUUGGAACGCUCCUUCCCUUCCCUCUAAUCUUCACAUGGCACCUUCUUACAGAGGUUCUUUCCUUGUCCCCUGCAGCCUUGCCGAGGUACCUCCCCAAUCACCCAAUUUUCUCUUUUCUAGAGUACUCAUUGUAUUAUUCUUAUUUUCAUUAUUUCCUGUCUUCUCCAUUGGAAUGCUAACUUCUCAAGGGAGAGGCUCUGUCUGUCUUUUGUCCUGUGCCCCAGGACCCAGCCCAGGGUAGUACUUAAUCAAUAUUCACUGACUGACUGUCUAAUGGUCAUUAUUUCUAAUAACUUUGACUUAUUAGCCUCAAGAAGUACUCCCACAUAGCAGGGCAACAGGCAGCACUGAAAAAUAAAACACAUUUAAUAAUAUACCAAAAAUAUUUUUCUAGGUACUGCUGCAAUGCCAUUCACGGCCUGGGAUAAAAAGAUGAGAAACUGAGGCCUGGAGAAGGCCCCACAGAUGGUUGAGGAGAGCCAGAUCAUGAACCAACAUCAUGGCACAUCUCGCCUGAAGAACCCACACCAGUUCCAGAGCCUUCAGGAAGUCCUUCCCAUCUACUCACUUCUUCCUGCCUCCAGUGGUUCUGGAAGAAUUCAGAGAAUGCCUCAUUUGCAGGGCUAAAAGAAGCCUAUGGAGGCUUCCAUUCCUGUCCUGGGCAUGUAGGCACAAACAAGAGUCAUCUCUACCCCCAGUAAGAAGGGUUACUGCAUAAGUGAGCACAACAGAAGAGAAGCCUGCCCAAGGCCUCCCCAGAGAUUUGGCUUUCUGCGUCCUGAAAAUUGGUUUCACCUAAGCCAAGAAACCAGUUAUCAGAUGGGAAUGGCAUUCUGUCAUCCCAGCCUGGGUCACCAGACGCCUAGAGGUGAGAGUCUUUGGGACAUAUUUCCCUGAUUAAACCAUCAUGGCAUCCUUCUGACAUGUAAGUGUGGAAGAAAGGAAUGUGUUACCGGGACCCAGUGAACAAAUCUUUUUAUAGCAUGACGUUGGACAUGAGGAUGUGGAUGCCUGAACACUAACAACACUUCAGUAAAGAACUAUCUUCAGUAGAGGCCCUCCCAAAUGCCAUCCCACAGUGACACAGAGGGAACAGUCUGAAGAAACUGCAAAGAGCUGCAUUAUUUGUAAGCAGAAAGUGGGAACCAGUUUGUAUCACAGCUGCUGAGGACAGAACAAAAACAAGUGGGCCUGAGAAGAUCAGAAGGAAAUAUGGGCCAACGGAGACUGCAGACUCUCUGUUUCCCAUUGUAGAUUUUUAAAACAUGAUAGUUUCUUCUAUCUGGGGAACUAUUUAAUUGUGGUCACUUUUGAAGGCAGAAGCCUAGUCUCCAGUUGGGGGAAUGGGACCAAUAUGGAUAAUAUAGCUUAAUCUGAUGCAGUCAAGAAGGGGUGGAGCAAGGAAAUGAAUAUUUAUUGAUUGUCUAUGAUGUGCUAGUCAUUUUUCAAUCAUUGACUUAUUUAAUCUUCCAAACCACACCAGGAGGUUGCUAUGACUAUCUCUCCCUUUCAAAACAGGAGGAUGGGGCUCAGGAAGCUAAGGGAACCUACAACCAAGGAGAGGUGGGAAGCGGAUCAGGGCUUUGAAGUCUUUUCUUACUAAGAACAAGGACAACCCCCAACCUCAGAUGCC
ensembl:lncRNA